rnacentral:tRNA from 1 species
GGAUUGUGGCUCGGCGGUAGAGCGCUUGCCUAGCACGUGCAGGGUCCUGGGUUUGAUCCUCAGCACCA